CAGAAAGUAUAUGAUUACAAAGUGAUGAAAGUAUGAUCCAAGUUGUAAAUCAAGUUCCAUCUGUGUAGGAUCUCUUGGUGAGAUCCUUAGUGUAGAAUGAUUGCAUGGUAGCUCAGUCUUGGGGAUUUUCCUGACGCUCCAAUGGUUUUUCAUUCUCAAGUAGAGAGGAUUGAUCCAUGUGGUGAGGAGUAGCAGGAGGUCCUAGUCUUGGAGGCUUCCAGUAUGCUCCAGGGCGCGGAACGAAUUAACCUCGUGAGUGUGGUAGGGUGGAACCCAUUGGCAACGGCUUUGCAAAGCAGUAGAGGCCACCACGAGUGCAUAACCGCCAUAGCUCGACAAUCAUUCUGGUCCGGACGAGUCGGUCUAUAAAACAAUGAGUCUUGUGAUGUCAAUAUGGGAGCAGAUGAC
rnacentral:sRNA from 1 species